AUGAGAGGAACCUAUUCGAGUAGCCAAAGGAGACUGCCUGGCCAUCAAAGAAGAAUGCUUGUAUACAUGUCAUAUACAUGAUAUAUAUCACAAGCUAGCCUCAAGAAUUAAUUAAUGAUGCAGGCAAGUCAUCCUUGGCUAUCAAAUAGGCACUUACCCUUCAUG
rfam:Solanum lycopersicum cultivar Heinz 1706 chromosome 3, whole genome shotgun sequence.